CCGAGUCUUCGGCCGAACGGCCGAGCCUCUCACACCGUGCGUAUGCAUGUCAAAAGUUUUAAAGCACAAAGGACAAUGUGUCGAAACAACCAAAGCAAACUAAAGCAA
rnacentral:misc_RNA from 1 species